GGUUAAGCGACUAAGCGUACACGGUGGAUGCCCUGGCAGUCAGAGGCGAUGAAGGACGUGCUAAUCUGCGAUAAGCGUCGGUAAGGUGAUAUGAACCGUUAUAACCGGCGAUUUCCGAAUGGGGAAACUCCAGUGUGAUUCGUCACACUAUCAUUAACUGAAUCCAUAGGUUAAUGAGGCGAACCGGGGGAACUGAAACAUCUAAGUACCCCGAGGAAAAGAAAUCAACCGAGAUUCCCCCCAGUAGCGGCGAGCGAACGGGGAGCAGCCCAGAGCCUGAAUCAGUGUGUGUGUUAGUGGAAGCGUCUGGAAAGGCGCGCGAUACAGGGUGACAGCCCCGUACACAAAAAUGCACAUACUGUGAGCUCGAUGAGUAGGGCGGGACACGUGGUAUCCUGUCUGAAUAUGGGGGACCAUCCUCCAAGGCUAAAUACUCCUGACUGACCGAUAGUGAACCAGUACCGUGAGGGAAAGGCGAAAAGAACCCCGGCGAGGGGAGUGAAAAAGAACCUGAAACCGUGUACGUACAAGCAGUGGGAGCCUCUUUUAUGGGGUGACUGCGUACCUUUUGUAUAAUGGGUCAGCGACUUAUAUUCUGUAGCAAGGUUAACCGAAUAGGGGAGCCGAAGGGAAACCGAGUCUUAACCGGGCGUUAAGUUGCAGGGUAUAGACCCGAAACCCGGUGAUCUAGCCAUGGGCAGGUUGAAGGUUGGGUAACACUAACUGGAGGACCGAACCGACUAAUGUUGAAAAAUUAGCGGAUGACUUGUGGCUGGGGGUGAAAGGCCAAUCAAACCGGGAGAUAGCUGGUUCUCCCCGAAAGCUAUUUAGGUAGCGCCUCGUGAAUUCAUCUCCGGGGGUAGAGCACUGUUUCGGCAAGGGGGUCAUCCCGACUUACCAACCCGAUGCAAACUGCGAAUACCGGAGAAUGUUAUCACGGGAGACACACGGCGGGUGCUAACGUCCGUCGUGAAGAGGGAAACAACCCAGACCGCCAGCUAAGGUCCCAAAGUCAUGGUUAAGUGGGAAACGAUGUGGGAAGGCCCAGACAGCCAGGAUGUUGGCUUAGAAGCAGCCAUCAUUUAAAGAAAGCGUAAUAGCUCACUGGUCGAGUCGGCCUGCGCGGAAGAUGUAACGGGGCUAAACCAUGCACCGAAGCUGCGGCAGCGACACUGUGUGUUGUUGGGUAGGGGAGCGUUCUGUAAGCCUGUGAAGGUGUACUGUGAGGUAUGCUGGAGGUAUCAGAAGUGCGAAUGCUGACAUAAGUAACGAUAAAGCGGGUGAAAAGCCCGCUCGCCGGAAGACCAAGGGUUCCUGUCCAACGUUAAUCGGGGCAGGGUGAGUCGACCCCUAAGGCGAGGCCGAAAGGCGUAGUCGAUGGGAAACAGGUUAAUAUUCCUGUACUUGGUGUUACUGCGAAGGGGGGACGGAGAAGGCUAUGUUGGCCGGGCGACGGUUGUCCCGGUUUAAGCGUGUAGGCUGGUUUUCCAGGCAAAUCCGGAAAAUCAAGGCUGAGGCGUGAUGACGAGGCACUACGGUGCUGAAGCAACAAAUGCCCUGCUUCCAGGAAAAGCCUCUAAGCAUCAGGUAACAUCAAAUCGUACCCCAAACCGACACAGGUGGUCAGGUAGAGAAUACCAAGGCGCUUGAGAGAACUCGGGUGAAGGAACUAGGCAAAAUGGUGCCGUAACUUCGGGAGAAGGCACGCUGAUAUGUAGGUGAAGUCCCUCGCGGAUGGAGCUGAAAUCAGUCGAAGAUACCAGCUGGCUGCAACUGUUUAUUAAAAACACAGCACUGUGCAAACACGAAAGUGGACGUAUACGGUGUGACGCCUGCCCGGUGCCGGAAGGUUAAUUGAUGGGGUCAGCGCAAGCGAAGCUCUUGAUCGAAGCCCCGGUAAACGGCGGCCGUAACUAUAACGGUCCUAAGGUAGCGAAAUUCCUUGUCGGGUAAGUUCCGACCUGCACGAAUGGCGUAAUGAUGGCCAGGCUGUCUCCACCCGAGACUCAGUGAAAUUGAACUCGCUGUGAAGAUGCAGUGUACCCGCGGCAAGACGGAAAGACCCCGUGAACCUUUACUAUAGCUUGACACUGAACAUUGAGCCUUGAUGUGUAGGAUAGGUGGGAGGCUUUGAAGUGUGGACGCCAGUCUGCAUGGAGCCGACCUUGAAAUACCACCCUUUAAUGUUUGAUGUUCUAACGUGGACCCGUGAUCCGGGUUGCGGACAGUGUCUGGUGGGUAGUUUGACUGGGGCGGUCUCCUCCUAAAGAGUAACGGAGGAGCACGAAGGUUGGCUAAUCCUGGGUCGGACAUCAGGAGGUUAGUGCAAUGGCAUAAGCCAGCUUGACUGCGAGCGUGACGGCGCGAGCAGGUGCGAAAGCAGGUCAUAGUGAUCCGGUGGUUCUGAAUGGAAGGGCCAUCGCUCAACGGAUAAAAAGGUACUCCGGGGAUAACAGGCUGAUACCGCCCAAGAGUUCAUAUCGACGGCGGUGUUUGGCACCUCGAUGUCGGCUCAUCACAUCCUCGGGGCUGAAGUAGGUCCCAAGGGUAUGGCUGUUCGCCAUUUAAAGUGGUACGCGAGCUGGGUUUAGAACGUCGUGAGACAGUUCGGUCCCUAUCUGCCGUGGGCGCUGGAGAACUGAGGGGGGCUGCUCCUAGUACGAGAGGACCGGAGUGGACGCAUCACUGGUGUUCGGGUUGUCAUGCCAAUGGCACUGCCCGGUAGCUAAAUGCGGAAGAGAUAAGUGCUGAAAGCAUCUAAGCACGAAACUUGCCCCGAGAUGAGUUCUCCCUGACCCUUUAAGGGUCCUGAAGGAACGUUGAAGACGACGACGUUGAUAGGCCGGGUGUGUAAGCGCAGCGAUGCGUUGAGCUAACCGGUACUAAUGAACCGUGAGGCUUAACCUU
rnacentral:rRNA from 1 species